rnacentral:rRNA from 1 species
GACGAACGCUGGCGGCGUGCUUAACACAUGCAAGUCGAACGGAAAGGCCCUGCUUUUGUGGGGUGCUCGAGUGGCGAACGGGUGAGUAACACGUGAGUAACCUGCCCUUGACUUUGGGAUAACUUCAGGAAACUGGGGCUAAUACCGGAUAGGAGCUCCUGCUGCAUGGUGGGGGUUGGAAAGUUUCGGCGGUUGGGGAUGGACUCGCGGCUUAUCAGCUUGUUGGUGGGGUAGUGGCUUACCAAGGCUUUGACGGGUAGCCGGCCUGAGAGGGUGACCGGCCAAAUUGGGACUGAGAUACCGCCCAGACUCCUACGGGAGGCAGCAGUGGGGAAUAUUGCACAAUGGGCGGAAGCCUGAUGCAGCCACGCCGCGUGCGGGAUGACGGCCUUCGGGUUGUAAACCGCUUUCGCCUGUGACGAAGCGUGAGUGACGGUAAUGGGUAAAGAAGCACCGGCUAACUACGUG